UUCCGAAAGGAAUGCUAAUACCGCAUAAGCUCGCGGUCUGUAGAGGACUGAGAGAAAAGGGUUUACUCGCUUGAAGAUGGGGCUGCGGCCCAUCAGCUAGUUGGUGCGGUAACGGCGUACCAAGGCGACGACGGGUAGGGGGCCUGAGAGGGUGACCCCCCACACUGGGACUGAGACACGGCCCAGACUCCUACGGGAGGCAGCAGUGAGGAAUAUUGCACAAUGGGGGCAACCCUGAUGCAGCGACGCCGCGUGAGUGAAGAAGGCCUUCGGGUCGUAAAGCUCUUUUCUGCGUGACGAGCAAGGACGGUAGCGCAGGAAUAAGUCUCGGCUAACUACGUGCCAGCAGCCGCGGUAAAACGUAGGAGACAAACGUUAUCCGGAGUUACUGGGCGUAAAGGGCGUGCAGGCGGUCUGUUAAGUUCGGCGUGAAAGCACCCGGCUAAACCGGGCGAGGUCGUCGGAUACUGGCAGGCUCGAGGACAGUAGAGGCGGGUGGAAUUCCGGGUGUAGUGGUGAAAUGCGUAGAGAUCCGGAGGAACACCAGUGGCGAAGGCGACCCGCUGGGCUGUACCUGACGCUAAGACGCGACAGCAUGGGGAGCGAACGGGAUUAGAAACCCCGGUAGUCCAUGCCGUAAACGAU
rnacentral:rRNA from 1 species